GCAGGGGUUCCCGAGUGGCCAAAGGGAUCAGACUGUAAAUCUGACGCGCAAGCUUCGGUGGUUCGAAUCCACCCCCCUGCACCA
rnacentral:tRNA from 23 species